rnacentral:lncRNA from 10 species
CUCUGCAAUCACUUCCUGUCUUGCUCAUUCUUUGUUUCUCUCUUAAUUUUUUACUCUUUCUUUCAGUCUUGCUCUGUCACCCAGGAUGGAGUGCAGUGGUGCGAUCUCAGCUCAUUGCAGCCUUCACCUCCCAGGUUCAAGUGAGUCACCUGCCUCAGCCUCCUGAGUAGCUGGGAUUACAGGGGUCCACCACCAUCCCCAGAGGUUCAUACCUGCAUUAUCAGCAGCAGCCAUUUCCCAGUGGACCAACCUGUCUUCAUCCAGGGAAGGCUGGGACACUUGCCAUGCUUCAAAGGAGCCACAAGCUUUCCAAAAGGAGCGGGAACAGCAGAAUGUAUCACGGUUGUGAUUUAUUCUCCAGUUGUGACUGACGAAUUAUUACAGCAAAUGACUUUGGGAAUUUAGAUCUGCUCCUGGGACUGUGCCUCGACCUAGAAUGCUUCUCAGGACCCUGAAUCAACUGGAUGAGAACUUAUGGGGACCUACCAGACUAUUUAAUAUCUUGCUUCAAACCUACUAAGAAUCCUAACUUCAAGCAUGGCCACUGCUCUGAAUCUCCUGUACCUGUGUCCCAUUUACCACCCCUAAGAUAAAAAGACUGACUGAUCCAAGUAAAGCUUGAGUUCAUGUCCACCCACCCUCAACAUCCAGGUUGGGAUUGCUGAGCACAACCCUAAGCUCACUGUCCCUCUCCAGUUCUGCUCUUCUCCCUUACUAAGAUACCAAGGCAACUACACUGUUGAGGUCCCAGAAGCCUCUCUGCCAAAUCAUUCUAAGAUAGGGAGAAGAGAAUCUGUGCAGUGAUUUGGGACAAUGAAUCUGUUGGGUGAAUAUAUCUGCUGCAUGCUGGGUCCCUGAGAGGCCCUGUGUCAUUUGGAGAGAUAGACAUCCUCUAUGGCCCAACUUAGGAGACCCAUCCUCUGGAGAUUUGCUUCAGCCACGCUAACUAAACACGCUCAUUGCCCCUUGAUUUCUUCUUUGAGGCCCUCAUAGGCAGUGAUCAAACAAUCAUUUGCAUAAUUUACAUUAUGACUUGCACACUCAGGUGAGUCCUCCACUCUACCAAGGGCAAGGGCUGUAUUUAAUUUGUUCACCUCUGUAUCCCUAGUGCCUGACACACAGAAAAUGCUUAAUAGAUGUUAGAUUAAUGAAUGAAUGAAUGAAUGAAGUAGCUGGCUGAGAAUUGUAUUAGAUUAACCAUGAUGCCUAAAUACAUAGUGUAAAUUAUUUCAUUCUAGAUUAAGCUUAAAAGUGUAAGAGAGGCAACUGUGUCACCUGAUUGAAAUAAUGAUUUGUUGCUAAUUAGUUAGAAAUAAAGAAAAUCAUGCAGAUAUGAUGAACUAUUUGACAUUUGGCAAAUUACCAUCUCUAAGUUUAUUUCUUUGCCUGUAAAAUAAAGAUACUAGAACUUACCUCAUGAGAAUAAAUGAAGGCUAAGUGGAUAAUAUACAUAAAAUGCUUAAGAUAUGUACCCAGCAUACCUUAAAUGCUUUGUAGCCAUUAUUAUUUACAUAUAUUUAUUUACAAUUAAAAAUUAUUUAAAAAGCGAAACAAAACCUAUAAUAAGUUUUAUUUUCUUAAUGCUUUGUCUUAGACUAGUUAGGCUGCUACAAAAGAAUAGCAAAGACUGGGUGGCUUAUAAAUAACAGAAAUUUAUUUCCCAAAGUUCUGGAGGCUGGAAAGUCCAAGGUCAAGGUGCCAGCAGAUUCAGUGUCUGGUGAGUGCCUGAUUCCAAGUUCAUAGAUAGAAGUCACCUCAUUGAGUCCUCACAUGGCAGAAGGGAUCAUGAAAUUUUCUGGAGUCUCUUUUAUAAGAAUAUUAAUACUAUUCAUGAGGGCUCUAUUCUCAUGAUGUACCUCCCAGAGGCCCUACCUCCUAGUAUCCUCAGACUGGGGGCUAGGAUUUCAACAUAUGAAUUUUGGGAGGACACAAACAUUCAGUCUAUAGCAUUCCACCCCUGAUAUCCCCAAAUUUAUGUACUUCUCACAUGCAAAAUACAUUCCUUCUAUCCAAACAGCCCCAAAAGUCUUCGCCUGUUCCAGCAUCAACUCAAAAAUCUAAAGUACAAAGUCUUAUCUAAAUAUUAUCUAAAUCAGAUUUUGGUGAGAUUCAAGAUACAAUUUAUUCUGAGGCAAAUUCCUCUCUAGCUGUGAAACUGUGAAAUCAAAUGUGUUGUGUGCCUCUCAGAAACAAAUCUGGGAUAUGCAUAAGAUAGACACAUCCAAUUCCAACAGGAUAAAUAAAUUGUAUCUUCACCAAUGGGAAAUGAGUCAUAACAACAAAGUUCAGCCAGCCAUUGGUGUAAACAUUUCCUCACAAAUUAGUGAGAAUUCCUGGAGCUCAGGCUUAACACAUAGGAACACCAUAAAGACUGAUUGGGUUUCAAUAAAACAUCAACAGUCCUCAUGAAAGAAGAAGGCAAACCUGACGAGCUAUGUGACUUUUGGCAAAUUACC